UUUUUGUGUGCAUGUGCAUGAGAAAAGACAUUUCUCUGUUUCUUCCAGAUCGUGAAGGUCUUGAACCUUUACACUCCAGUCAAUGAGUUUGAGGAAAGAGUAUCGAUUGCAUUCAUAAGAACCAUACAGACUCGUUUGCGAGACCGGUGUGAGAGUCCUCAGCUGUUGAUGGACACAAAGAUGAUAUAUCCAGUCACCUUCCCUUUCAAUCCAUCCUCCCUCGCCCUGGAAACCAUCCAGAUUCCGAGCUCUCUCAACCUAGGCUUUCUCGCCCGUGUCUAAAGAAGGACGUACAUGCAACAUCAACAUGUGCUGAACUUUCAACAUGUCUGUUCCACAUCCUCUGAGUGCACACACACACAUACACACAUUUACACUCACAUGCAUCUUUAUUUCACAAAUACAUCACAGUCACCAUCUCUGGUUUGAACCCUGCAGUAAAACGUCAUCGUCCAGCCACUGCUUGUAUAAACGCCAGCCUCUUAGAGAAGCCACAGCACCAGCUCAGUGCCCCAGUACUCGUCUCUGUUGGCCCUUGGGUUUACCCCAGAACUGUUUUUGUCUCCUCAACACUUGUACUUCCCCACAUCCCUAAACUGCGUUCUCAUUGUUGACUUAUCUUGAGUAGGAACAUACCCACACACAUGGUCUUUAGGCCUUACCGUGAGGAAUAAGGUGAUGCGGGUUGGCUGGUCUGGUUUGUUUGCAAAGCCACAGAGCUGAUUGUAUGUUGUCAUUUCACUCUGACUACAAGAGUAGCCAAGACAGAAGUCAUCUGUACAAUGUUAUUUAUACAUAUCUAUAAAUAAUAUCUUGUAAUUUAUUUAUUGCAUUCACUUAGCCAACCCCUCCCCC